GGGCGGCUGGCCUAAUGGUAAGGCGUCUGAUUUCGGUCGAGCAAUGCUCAAAGGUUCUCAGAAGACUUGCAGGUUCGAUCCCUGCGUCGCUCA
rfam:Penicillium nordicum strain DAOMC 185683 scaffold_57, whole genome shotgun sequence.